rnacentral:lncRNA from 1 species
AAAUGUGAACCUGUUUUAUUUUUUUCGUGCUUGGUUUUGAUUUUUCCUUUUUGAUCUGAACAUUCAGGAAGCACCAAAAAAUUAGUAAACUAAACCACAAAGUUUCCUGAUUUCUGUCACUGCUCUGCUGGAACAUGUUGGUGUCAUGGAACCAUGCGUGCUACCAACAGGCUGGACUCUAACUACCACCAUAUGAAAGGAUUCAGACCCAAAUGCUCAAAUAAACAAAAACCAAAACCAAAGCCCUUUUCCCCACUCAGGAUGCAUGAGAAAUGUGGGAAGAGGCUGCCCUGUUCCUGUAGGAAUUCUGUCACCUCCAUCUAAAUGAGGAAGUGGACCUGCAAGAGCCUUUCAAGAUUGAGGUAUCAUCAGAAUAAAAGUAAAAUAGUAUCAGAAGUUUCCUGUCACCAGCGGGGUAACAAGAGUCUUAACUUUCCUAGGCAGUGCUUAAGCAAGUAUGGUAUGUAUGUCAAGCACAUGACUGCAGUCCCAGGGUGCCAUGAACACACAAUACAGGGAUCUCCAUGAGUAGGAAGUGACAGAACAUCACUGCUGCACAGAAUUCCAGAAAAUAGCAUUUACUGGCUUUAAUGAUUGUUCACAUCUCACUAUUAAUAUAGUUAUAGGUUGGACCAGAUGAUCCUUGCGGUCCUUUCCAACCUGGUAUUGUGUAAUUCUUUAAAAGGACCACUAAUGUGGCAUGGGGUGGGGUGGUAGGUACUGACAUCUCCGAUUCCUCUUUGAGCUGACCUUAUGUUAGUAAAGCAGCUACAACAGAUCUUCACCUGGCACAAGAUGCACGUCAGCUUCAGAGGGCUGAGAGCAUUAGAGGAUUUUCUCUCACUUGGGGGUGGCAGAAGGCAGCUGCCAGGCAAUGCAGAAACUGCACUUGAGGGUGAGCCCUGGACAGUGCUGGAAACCACGCAAAGCAUGCUAGAGCUGGGGCUGAUGGAUGCAGAGACUUUCACCAUGUGGAGGACAGAAGUGUGUUGAACAGCUGCCAGAGAGCUGAGUCUUUUGGUCUAUGUGAACUAAACUGGGAACUUCAGAGUAGCUCAGGAUGGGAUUAGCUAAAAGACACUUCUCAGUGUCUUUUAGGGAUGUCAGGGAUGUAAUCCAUCCCUUCUCAGUGAGAUUGUCCACUGCGUUAGAAAAACAAACAACAAACCAAACAAUCCAGCCUGUGCCCUGCUUUUACCAUUCGUGC